UCCACACUCGAUGUAGGACGACGUGAGAUUAAGCAAAGACGCCGCGUUGUAGAAGCACGACAAACCUCAACGACGCACGCACAUGCGCAUUGGUUUAAAUUUCAUUUCCGCUCGUGUUGUAGAUGAGCGCGUCGUUAAAUCUUAAGGUCACUAAUGAGAUAUUUUCGCGACAUAAGUUAGCUACUCGUAAACAACAAUCUGGCGAGAGCCUGGAUGAGUAUUUGCAAGAAUUAAAAUCGCUAAGCAAAGAUUGUAAUUUUCGUAGCGUGACAUCAAAUCAAUAUCGAGACGAAGCUGUACGAGACGCGUUUAUAGCAGGUCUUCUUUCAACUAACAUCCGCCAACGUCUUCUCGAGAAUAAAACAUUAGACCUUCAGACAGCUUUUGAUCAAGCCCGAGCCUUAGAUACAGCACAGAGAACUUCUGAAACUUUUGCAGACGGAAUUCCAAUAACAGCUGCUGCUCUAUCAAACAAGGACGGGGAGAAUUCGUUUAUUAAUCAACGGGCAUUCGAAAACCAAGAUAAAACUGAUCAAUCUGACGGACAUCAAGAGAACAACGGCAUAGAAAGGUACGUUGCCGCCUCUUCUAGAUCAGCGAAAUGUUUCUUCUGCGGUAAUCGACCACACCAUCGUUCCGCAUGCCCGGCUAAAGACGCCUAUUGUUAUAAAUGUAAAAAGAAAGGACAUUUCCAAAGAGUAUGUAAAUCGGUCGCUCCUCAGGCUUCGUAUAUAGCAUUAGCAUCAACUAAACAUACAGUAGCAAAGUCACUAUAGAAAGCCUGUAUUGAUGUCUUGAUUAAUGGAAAAUCUUGCAAAGCUCUAAUUGAUUCGGGAAGUGCACAUAAUUUUAUACAUCCCAAAGUUGCAAGUAACCUGGGAUUGAACGUUUAUACAACUCAAGAGAAAGUAACAAUGGCUGCAUCCUCAGCCAUAUGCCUAAUUUUUACUCAUAAUAACUUUAAUGUUCCCUCAAUAUCAAUUUUUACUCAUAAUAACUUAAAAUGUCCCCUUUUUUCUCAUAUUUCUAAACUUGUCUUUUAUAGACACCCCGUUCUUAUGCUUCGGAUGAAAAUUGUACUCGUCACGAAUUUUCGCCCAUUUUCUGCCAUGUUUAUUAUAUCCUUCUUUAAUAAAUUCCUCUUCCUCUUUAGACCACAUUACACGUUCUCUUUUUGAUCCUGAAAACAUGAAAAAUACGCCAGGUAAACUUUGGCAUCAGUCAGUUUAUGACUGGCCAUAACGUACCUAAUUUGGUUGCUACGAUUUUCUUCAUAGAAAGAUCGUCUUCAUCAUCAUCAUCAUCAUCCCUAGCAUCAUCAUCUAUUGUAGAAACAAAUUUUUGCUUAUUGAAAUUUCUUAAAUAAAAUUAAAUAUUUUUUCAAAUAGUACAUAAAUAGAUAAUUCUGAAGAACUUCCUCGUUAUACAUAAAAACAAGGCUAAGAUGUGUAUGUAUUGAGUAGUACAGAGAAAAACAAGAGUCUUAUAAAUUCACUGCAAUCUUCAACAUUUAUAAGCUUUAUUAUUUUCCUCUAACUUCGUUGCUCAGAAAAAAAUAAAAUUGUUUAAUCAUACAUGAUUAGCGAGUUAAGAUUAUCGACAAAUGCAUGCCAGGGCACAUGCAGGCUCAACAGGCAUAAUUUUUGUACAGCACUGAGCUAUCACUAGCUAUAUAAUGUCACGUUUACCCCCCUCCCCCCCCCCCAGGAAAUUAAUUGUCUGUAAAGAUAUAGUAAAUAAACAAACAAAAAAUUAAAACAUUAUCUAUUGCACGAACGAUUUUUUGUUGAUCCUGUAAAGAUAUAGUAAACUACGCGCACAAUAAUAAUUUCAUGACACUUUUUGCAAAUAUUUUCCACUUAUUAUUUUAUAAACAGAUUUGUUUGUAAAAGUUCUACAUUUUUUGCUUUUAUCAUAUAGUGGAAUGUUUUCUUUUUGCAACAACAUACAAAGUUUAUGAUGAUAUUAUACAUGAAACUUUUAUAUCAGUUUGUGGAAGAAAAUGACUGAUUCGUAUACCAACAUAGAAAAGACUUGUGAUAUAUAUACGUAUAUAAAUUAAAUCAUAACAAGACCUACAUUAUCGCAAAAGUUAAAUUGAGCGAUUGAAAAUUUAAAUCGUCUUAUAUUUCUCUACUAUAGAAAGCAGGCUGCUUUGUUAAAUCAGUAAUAGAAAAAUUACCUCCUCUUCAUCACCUCCUCCUCCUUCUUCUGAAUUAUGAUUGAAAGUAAUAGGUUAUAUGCAUUGAACAAAAUAGUCACUGGAGACUGAGAGAAAUCAUUGGAUGAACUAUGAUUGUAAUUAUCUUUAUUUCUUUCCUAACCACAUUAACUGUGUUCUCCACCGGGGAAAUUAUGAUGCUGUGGAUUCUCAUCAGUUCAAGCAACAUGAUAAAGUGAUGCUUCUAUGGCCUUAACCCUAUCAUUGUUAUCAAGAAGGUUUUCCCUCACUGAAAGCCCAUAAUAUUUUGCGAAGUAUCUAGUUUGCUUUUACCUUUCAUUUAUCAUCUUUUUCAUGUUUCUUGAAUAACCCUGUUGAAAGAAUGCAGUGUUAGUCAGGACGAAAAAUAUUUAAAAAUAUUUCUUAACUUUUAAACAAUAAACAUACCAAAUUGACAUGGAAAGUUCUUAUAUCAAUUAUUUUGAAAAAACUAUCACCAGGCAGAUUUUGUUUAUUCGUUUUUUUUUCACCCAGCGCGUAAGGCAAUCGUUAAACUACUUUUCUUACAUUAGCAGUUACCAGUGAAAUUAAUUGGCGUUCUUGAGAUUGGUUUCUUUACGCAUUAGGUACUGAAUUUAGUACUUUUAUUUUAUGCUUGUACUGUUUUUAUUUUUCCAUAAAGGUUUAACACACAUAUGAUUUGGUGUAUGUAAACUGUAAGAAUGAUUUCAUAAGAAAAAUAUUGAUUACGUUCCAUUUCAUAUACAGCGAUCUUGUACAUUGUUUUAUCCCUGGUUAAAUGUUUUAAAUGUAAAUGAAUGUAAAAUUUUAAAGCGACUAUGAGGAAAAACUUUUUAAAUUGUACAAGAAAUUUGCUUUAGUUAACAAAGUAGGUAUCGUCUUCUGUCUUCAGCACUUUCUGUCGAUCCCGAACGUUUAGCUUUAUCGUUAAAUGCUAAAGCCUACAUCAACGUGUCAUUAUCCACGUGAAAAAAUUUCAUAAAUUGAAGAUUCUCAUAAUGUUAUCACACCCAUACUCAAAGGAAAUCGAAAAACUAAUUCUCGCUACAUAUUCGGCAAUUUUUGUGUUGUUUUUUGAUGAUACUAUGAUAAGUAGCGCAGCAACGUAGCUAAGUUCUGAAAAAAUAAUGUGACCCGAUUUUGCCAAAACUUAAAAAAAUAAUUUGUGCAUUUACUUUCGAAUCUUACCCUGCUUCAAUCCAGCAGGUUACCUAAGGACCGAAAUACUUUUCGAACAUUUGCGUUAAAUUUUGUGAAAUGUUAUAGAAAUGUCUUGUUCGAAGAUCACACUGUAAGAGAUCUGAAAACCAUGUUGCAUAAAUAGUUACAGCUACUUCCACAUCAAUUUUAAGUUUCGUGACAGCUUUUAAAGCUCUCGUACAGUUUGGUAAAGUUGUGGAUAUUAAAACACAACAACAAACCAUAUAGGCAUGUGCAUGUAAAAUGUACGUAAAUUUUGUUUAGUGUAUAGUUAUAUUUAUAGUUAACCGCAGGCCGUUACGAAGGACAGUGUGUGCGGGCGGGGGACACACUCAAGUAAUAUUUUCGGCUAAAUAAGGCUUGUUUAAACAUGUACGUAAGCGUGAAAAAAAAACUUAAUCUUAUUUGUGUUGAAUAACCAUGUGGAUGUAGUUCCUUUCAGAAGACCACGCCGUAUAACCACAUCCAUUUUCGAAAAAUUUGAUUUCAACUCUUCGACACGGCCUUUGGUUAAGUCAUACUCAAGCUUUCGUAUUUCAUAAUUAAUCUAAACUUUGGUUUCUCACUCCCAGGCGAAAACAAAAUGCCUUUGUUUCUUUCUUUCGCUUAUUUCUUAUUUGAAAUCAGAGUUAUUACUGUUUAGUUUAAGUGUGUUUUUUUAAUCUAAGAAAGUUUUAUUGUUUUCAUUUUGUUUUGAAAUUUCAUGUUUUAUAUAAGUAAUAUGUGUUUGUCUAUAGUGUUGAAGAUAUAUUGAAUGUAAAUGUCAUCAUCUCUUACUUACACUUGUAUUGAAAGUUUCCAAUAAUAGAAAAGUGUAAAUUUUCAA